GAGAAAUCAGAUUACACCUGGAUUUCUCCCCCAUAUUCUGAGGUCUUCCUGCAUGUAUUCAGAUUACACUGAUUUAUUUCAUGUCUUACCUCUCCACAUGUGUGAAAAUACUAGACUAAAU